UACGUAGGGUGCAAGCGUUUAAUCGGAAUUACUGGGCGUAAAGAGUGCGUAGGCGGCUAUGUAAGACAGAUGUGAAAUCCCUGGGCUUAACCUAGGAACUGCAUUUGUGACUGCAUGGCUAGAGUGUGGUAGAGGGAGAUGGAAUUCCGCAUGUAGCAGUGAAAUGCGUAGAUAUCAAGAGGAACACCAGAGGCGAAGGCGGAUUGCUGGGCUGAUACUGACGCUGAGGCGCGAAAGCUAGGGUAGCAAACGGG
rnacentral:rRNA from 1 species